CCUACGGGGGGCUGCAGUGGGGAAUAUUGGACAAUGGGGGCAACCCUGAUCCAGCCAUGCCGCGUGUGUGAAGAAGGCCCUCGGGUUGUAAAGCACUUUCAGUGAGGAAGAACGCCUGGUGGUUAAUACCCAUCAGGAAAGACAUCACUCACAGAAGAAGCACCGGCUAACUCCGUGCCAGCAGCCGCGGUAAUACGGAGGGUGCGAGCGUUAAUCGGAAUUACUGGGCGUAAAGCGCGCGUAGGUGGCUUGAUAAGUCGGUUGUGAAAGCCCCGGGCUCAACCUGGGAACGGCAUCCGGAACUGUCAAGCUAGAGUGCAGGAGAGGAAGGUAGAAUUCCCGGUGUAGCGGUGAAAUGCGUAGAGAUCGGGAGGAAUACCAGUGGCGAAGGCGGCCUUCUGGACUGACACUGACACUGAGGUGCGAAAGCGUGGGUAGCAAACAGGAUUAGAUACCCCAGUAGUC
rnacentral:rRNA from 1 species